rnacentral:rRNA from 1 species
CAAGUCGAACGGCAGCACGGGUGCUUGCACCUGGUGGCGAGUGGCGAACGGGUGAGUAAUGCGUCGGAACGUACCGAGUAAUGGGGGAUAACGCAGCGAAAGUUGUGCUAAUACCGCAUACGAUCUACGGAUGAAAGCGGGGGACCGCAAGGCCUCGCGCGAUGAGAGCGGCCGAUGUCAGAUUAGCUAGUUGGUGGGGUAAAGGCCUACCAAGGCGACGAUCCGUAGCUGGUCUGAGAGGAUGAUCAGCCACACUGGGACUGAGACACGGCCCAGACUCCUACGGGAGGCAGCAGUGGGGAAUUUUGGACAAUGGGCGCAAGCCUGAUCCAGCCAUGCCGCGUGAGUGAAGAAGGCCUUCGGGUUGUAAAGCUCUUUCAGACGGAAAGAAAUCGGGCGCGUGAAUAGCGUGCCUGGAUGACGGUACUGUCAGAAGAAGCACCGGCUAACUACGUGCCAGCAGCCGCGG